CAUGUUGGUCCCAUGUUUCAUGAGCUGAGAUAAAUUAAUGUUUCAUAUGCACAAAAAGUUUUGCAUUUCUCCUUUGCCAAGAUGAUAUGCCACACAUGUCUGGUGGAUGGAUUAAGAAGCUGAUUAAACAGCAUGAUCAGUACACAGGUGCACCUUGUGCUGGAGACAAUAAACGGUCACUCUAAAAUGUGCAGUUUUGUCAUCCAAUACAAUGCCACAGAUGUCUCAAGUUUUGAGGGAGUGUGCAGUUGGCAUGCUGACUGCAGGAAUGUCCACCAGAGUGAUUGCCAGAUAAUUUCAUGUUAAUUUCUCUACCAUAAGCCGCUACGUUCGACCGGCAUCACAACUGCAGACACGUGUAACCACGCCAGCCCAGGACCUCCAUAUUCUGCUUCUUCACCUGUGGGAUCGUCUGAGACCAGCCACCCGGACAGCUGAUGAAACAGGGUUUGUACAACUGAAGAAUUUCUGCACAAACUGUCUGGAGAGGUGUGCUCUUCACGGAUGAAUCCCAGUUUCAGCUGUACCGGGCAGAUGGCAGACCGCGUGUAUGGCAUCAUGUGGGUGUGCAGUCUGCUGACGUCAACAUUGUGAUCAGAAUGCCCAAUAGUGGCAGUGGGGUUAUGGUAUGGGCAGGCGUAAGCUACGGACAAGGAACGCAAUUGCAUUUUAUUGAUGGCAAUUUAAAUGUGACGAGAUCCAGAGGCCAUUCAUCCGCUGCCUUCACGUCAUGUUUCAGUAUGAUAAUGCACUGCUUCAUGUCGCAUACUCACCAGACACGUCACCCAUUGAGCAUGUUUGGGAUGCUCUGGAUCGACAUGUACAGUUCCCACCAAUAUCCAUCAACUUUGCACAGCCAUUGAAGAGGAGUGGGACAAGGUUCCACAGGCAACAAUCAAUAGCCUGUUCAACUAUCCGAAAGAGAUGUGUGACGCUGCAUGAUGUAAAUGGUGGUCACACCAGAUAAUGACUGGUUUUCUGAUCCAAGUCUUUUAUUUAAAAAGUAUUUGUGACCAACAGAUGCAUAUUUGUAUUCCCAGUCAUGUGAAAUCCAUAGAUUAGGGCCUAAUGAAUUUAUUUCAAUUGACAGAUUUUCUUUUAUGAACUGCAACUCUGUAGAAUUGAUGAAAUUGUUGCAUGUUGCAUCUUAUGUUUUCAUUCGGUGUAAUAACCAUCAUAUAGAAGUAAACUUGGAGUCACAUGAUGAUAUGUUCUUAGGUCCUCCCAUUACGACUCGAUAAAACAUGCAGUUUAUUAGGCUACAGAUAAUAUAAGUUACGGUGAAUUUCACAGGGUGGUGAAAGUGCACAUUCUCCUUACCAAUAAAUAUCUUAUUUUGGUGACAUGAUGAUUGAUGCUUGGAUGUCGUUUGACAAACAAAAAGAAUAUUGCUCUUAUUCAUAAUGAUCUCACAAUGCAUGUAGUCUACCCGCACUGUAUCUUCAAGCUGUUGGCUAGAGCAUAUGUGCCAAGACUAGAGUGGGCAAGUUUGCAAUAUAACGCAACAGUUUUUUGGACAAAACCAUCAGUAGGGUGGAAAAUGGGAUGAAAACCCAUUCUAUUUUUCAUUUGGUACAGAAUUGAAUGGCAAAAGUCAUUUUUAUGUGCACUUCAUUAUCACAGUGUUUUUGCAAUUAAUCUUUUUUUUUUAAUGAAAACCCAUCUCUGCUGGGAAAAUACGCAUAUAGUUUCCUGCAGAUUUUAGAAUAUUCUCAUGAAAAUCUGUCGCAAAAACCUAGGUAGUGGUGUGCAUGCAUGUGAUUAGUUUGUGUGUCAAGUAUUAAUGUUUCUCUUGCACUUGUUAGGUCUGUUUCAUUUGUUGAGAGCAAUGUACAUUUCUGUAUGAAAUUUGCGAUAAACAGGAAACCAGUACUAAACUGGAAGAGUUUUUGAUAAACAUGAAACCAGUUACUGAACUGGAGGGGUCUUUGAUAAACAGGAAAUAAAUUACCAAACUGGAAGGGUGUUUGAUAAACAGAAAACCAGUUACCAAACUGGAGGGGUCUUUGAUAAACAGGAAACCAGUUACCAAACUGGAAGGGUGUUUGAUAAACAGGAAACCAUUACCAAAACUGGAAGGGUCUUUUAUAAACAGGAAACCAGUUACCAAACUGGAAGGGUGUUUGAUAA
ensembl:lncRNA